rnacentral:lncRNA from 10 species
ACGAAUUGUUGGAGUUGGCAGACUAGAGAAGGACAGUGAAGCCUGCUCAGUCUAGACUUACAUGAGAGACUACUCAAUGACUCUCACAGAAAAGAGAUCUUCCCAAGGUGACAUCUUCUCCUCCUAAGCCAAUAAGGUCAUCUUACUCACAGUCCACUUCCAGGAACUGACCCCAAAUGGACAGAAUCUACUUAUAUCAUGGCACAGCUGUCAACUUCUCUUGCUAAAGAAGAGAAUAACGCUCACAAAAUUGCCCCAGAUGGCGGUGCAACAUUUUUGGGCCAAGUACUACAACUGAAAAGCAUGAACAGAGUUUUACCAGCGGGUUACAGGUUUGUUUAUAUGAAAAUUGCACUCCCUGUUUAUUUCUAAUAGGGAAAAUAUUUCUGAUGGUAUAUGAUUCCUAAAUGAAAUGAUGCUAACAAAUGUUCACAUAUUUUGUGAGGGAGAACACAGCAAAUUGUAAGAUAUGAUCUGCAGAUAUCAAACUCAUUUUCUUUACUGGAAAACAGGUCUGACUGCAUGGCACGAUUAUGUUGGGAAAAAUGCAGCUAUAGUUCUCUUCAUUUGGAACACGAACGUAUAUCACAAAGCUAACCAGAUCACAUUCAUUCAGUAGCAAACACAAAUCAACUGUGGCUAGCAAAUGUGUGUACAAAAUACAUUGACAUCAAUACCAGUUUGGUGCUUUCUUGUGAUCAAAUCCAGGGAAAUAGAAAUCAGCCAUCUAAAACUUAACCACUUGCAAAAGAGCAUUUAUGUUACCAGCAGUUUAAAGGAAAUGAAUGUUCAUUGAAGAGCAGCCUAUGCUGAACUCUCAUUUUUACAUGUAUUCAACUAUAUAUAUGCUGGCUCAUCAUUUUAAAACUAUUAUCAGCCAGGUGCAGUGGCUCACGCCUGUAAGCAUUUUGAGAGGCUGAGGUGGGUGGAUCAUGAGGUCAGGAGAUCGAGACCAUCCUGGCUAACACGGUGAAACCCCAUCUCUACUAAAAAUACAAAAAAUUAGCUAGGCAUGGUGGCGGGUGCCUGUAGUCCCAGCUACUUGGGAGGUUGAGGCAAGAGAAUCACUUGAACCCAGGAGGCAGAGGUUGCAGUGAGCCGACAUGCGCCACUGCACUCCAGCCUGGGUGACAGAGUGAGACUCCAUCUCAAAAACAAACAAACAAACAAGCAAACAAAAAAAUUAUAUUAUCAUUUAUUAAAUGUGAUUAGGUAGCUCUGGAUCCUUGGUCUGUUAUUUUUUUUAAGGCAUAAUAAGACCAGGACUUAAAAAAAAACACCCUGUAAAAUGUACGCUUUUUAAGAAAUAAUAGAAGUCACUUUUAUUCUAACAUGCUAUCUUUAUUGAAAUAUUUUAAACAUUUAUUGCAAAAACAAUA